UACAGAGGGGGCAAGCGUUAUUCGGAAUUAUUGGGCGUAAAGGGCGCGUAGGCGGCGAUUCAAGUGACGGGUGAAAUCCCUCGGCUUAACCGAGGAACUGCCUGUCAGACUGGAUUGCUUGAGGCCGGGAGAGGCGAGUGGAAUUCCCAGUGUAGCGGUGAAAUGCGUAGAUAUUGGGAGGAACACCAGUGGCGAAGGCGGCUCGCUGGAUCGGUUCUGACGCUGAGGCGCGAAAGCGUGGGGAGCAAACAGG
rnacentral:rRNA from 1 species